rnacentral:misc_RNA from 1 species
GUGUGCGCGUGUGUGUGUGUGUGUUGAGUCCAAGAAUUUUCACGAAAACCUUGCAAUUUGAUUCAUUUCACAAUUCCAGAUUUGUGAAACUAGGAUUUUGAUUAAUGAUAUAUGACAUUAAAAGAGUUGAAAAUAUAAUAUGAACCACUUGAUCUGGGAUUGUGGGUUCUAUCUGCUAGAACCAAUAGGAAACCAAUGAAUUGCUUAUUCAGAUUUUUUUAGUCAGCAUGGCAUCCACAUAUUAUGUGAUUCAAUCAAAUUGCACAAAGCUUACCUGAGUUGUAG